rnacentral:misc_RNA from 1 species
UGAUGAACAGCAGCAUGGAAGC